CAGCCGCCGCGGUAAUACGAGGGGGGCAAGCGUUGUUCGGAAUUAUUGGGCGUAAAGGGCGCGUAGGCGGUUUGGCAAGUUUGGUGUGAAAUCUUCGGGCUCAACUCGAAGUCUGCACCGAAAACUGCCGAGCUAGUAGGUGAGAGAGGUGAGUGGAAUUCCGAGUGUAGAGGUGAAAUUCGUAGAUAUUCGGAGGAACACCAGUGGCGAAGGCGGCUCACUGGUCCAUUACUGACGCUGAGGUGCGAAAGCGUGGGGAGCAAACAGGAUUAGAUACCCGGGUAGUCCCUGUCUCUUAUAC
rnacentral:rRNA from 1 species